rnacentral:rRNA from 1 species
GUCUACAGCCAUACCACCCUGAAAGUGCCUGAUCCCGUCUGAUCUCAGAAUCUAAGCAGGGUCAGGCCUGGUUAGUACUUGGAUGGGAGGGAGAUUGCCUGGGAAUACCAGGUGCUGUAGGAU